ensembl:lncRNA
UUUCUAGGAGGAAUCUGAGGCACAGAGAGGGUGUGUCUUGUAACUAAUAUCUUCCAGCAAUGGACAGGUAUUUGGGAUUCAAUGUCGGGUUGCCUGUUUCAGGACUGGGGGAGUCUGGUCUCUGUAAUCCUCUUUCCCUUCCAUCACAGCUUCGGGAACUCCUAGUCCACCCUCUGUCCCUACCCUGACUCCUUAAGAGCCCUACUCAUACACUGCGCUCCAUGCUCAAUGAUCACGACUAUCCACUGGGAAGAAAUGCUGAUGGCUUUCCUGUGAAUGAUCCCAUUAUCUACCUGGUAAUGCUCCAUUCCCACCACCUCUCUGCCACAGCAUUGCACUGGAUUUAGGGCAGCCAAGAGUGGAGGAGACUUGUAUGAUGCUGGAUAUCACUUAUGUGCAAUUUAAAAACAAUACAAAUGAAUGCACAUGCAAAAUAGAAAACAAACUCAUAGAUUUAGGGGCUUCACUGGUGGCUCACUGAUGGAAGAACCUGCCUGCCGAUGCAGGAGAUGCGGGUUCAAUCCCUGUGUCAGGAUGAUGAUCUGGAGGAGGAAAUGGCAACCCACUCUAAUAGUCUUGCCUGGAGAAUCUCAUGGACAGGGAAGCCUGGCAGGUUACAGUCCAUGGGAUCGCAAAGAGUCGGAUACAACUUAGCAACUACACAGUAAUAUGUCUUCAGAACAUUGGUAACGAUCUUUGGAGUUCUCAGCAGCUGCGCUAACAAGAGUCUAGAAGAGCAAAACUUUGAUUAAAAACACUAUUUGGUCCUCCAUAUCACUGAAACAUUGAAAUCAAAAAGAGUACCUCACUAUCCAUUGGCUACUUUGGCAUCUAAAUAGUUCUAUUACAUGAAGGGCUAUUAGAUUGUUUUUCUUCUUUCAUCAUAUUUUGUUUUAUUGCUGCAAUAGCUAUUGGGAGUGAGCAGAUUGUUAAGAACAUUAAGGAAGAUGCUUUUCAGUUGGUUAGCCAUGCUAAGGUUUUAAUGGCUCAAGGGUUAAGAAUCUGCCUGCCAAUGCAGGUGACUCAGGUUUGAUCCCUGAGUUAGGAAGAUCCCCUGGAGAAGGAAAUGGCAACCUCCUCCAGUAUUCUUGCCUGGGAAAUCCCACAAACAGAGGAACCCGUUGGGCUACAGUCCAUGAGGUCGAAAAAGAGUCGGAUAGGAUUUAGCAACUGCUGCUAAGUUGCUUCAGUCGUGUCCGACUCUGUGCGACCCCAUAGAUGGAAGCCCACCAGUCUCCCCCGUCCCUGGGAUUCUCCAGG